rnacentral:rRNA from 1 species
GACGAACGCUGGCGGCGUGCUUAACACAUGCCAGUCGAACGGAAAGGCCCUGCUUUUGUGGGGUGCUCGAGUGGCGAACGGGUGAGUAACACGUGAGUAACCUGCCCUUGACUUUGGGUUAACUUCAGGAAACUGGGGCUAAUACCGGAUAGGAGCUCCUGCUGCAUGGUGGGGGUUGGAAAGUUUCGGCGGUUGGGGAUGGACUCGCGGCUUAUCAGCUUGUUGGUGGGGUAGUGGCUUACCAAGGCUUUGACGGGUAGCCGGCCUGAGAGGGUGACCGGCCACAUUGGGACUGAGAGACGGCCCAGACUCCUACGGGGGGCAGCAGUGGGGAAUAUUGCACAAUGGGCGGAAGCCUGAUGCAGCAACGCCGCGUGCGGGAUGACGGCCUUCGGGUUGUAAACCGCUUUCGCCUGUGACGAAGCGUGAGUGACGGUAAUGGGUAAAGAAGCACCGGCUAACUACGUG